UUGGGAGCCGGCAGAUGGUUUAGGCUGAGAAAGGCUGCGAUCAGCAUUGUUUUCAGCGAUGGCUCAGGUGGUGGCACGCUCGGGAGGCUGGGAGGUGGCUGGGGAACAGGAGGAGGAGGGGCCAGCUGGAGACGCCCGCAUCCUGCCGUGGCCGAGGCCAGGCUAGGAAGGUGGCCCAGGUUAAGACAGUGAGGAUGGAGCAAACAAACCACCCACUGUGUGGCUCAGGCUUGUUUUAAACAUCACGGAGCCCUGAGCAGAAGGGAAGGCCCAGGGCCAUGCUGGGAAGCCGGCGAGAAGCUCCGAGGGCAGCCACAAGAGGUCUGAAGCUUGCUACGACAAGUAAAGAUCAAAUCAGAAGCUGAACGCCCUGAGGCUUUGAAAGAUAGAGAGUGAUUUGUGGCCCCUCCAGUGAAAAGGCUGCUGCCAUUGUUAACAACCUCUGUUCCCGCUUUCUCCGCCAUGCUGGGUGCCGGAGCGCACUGUGUUCCAAGAAGUGAUGCCCGACCAUCUCCAGAGCAGCGUGGACUCCAGGGCGGGCAACGGGCCUCUGCCACAUCACCUGCAGAGCCGACGGGAGGAAACGGCUCCGAGGCCCAGGGCAGGUAGACUCGGGCAGCCUGGGCCUGGGGUCUGGAAGACUCGGCCUCCAGGACGUGAUUCGUUGCUCUGGCCGCGGCUUCCGGCUGCUCCCGGUGCCCCCAGUUUGGCCUCACCCUCUGCUCCUGGGCCCCAGGCCCUCCCACUCUCACUGGCCCGUCCUCGGAGGGGCCAGAAGGGCCUGCCGCCCUCUCGGCCAGGGAUGGCUGAGCGCAGGCCUUCGUAGCCCUCUGGCAGGCCUGCACAUUGAAUGCACUCACAUCCCAAAGAGAAUCGAAUUUCUUUACCAUUCCUUGUAAUUUCCUGGUAAUCACAUCACACGGGGGAACUUCCAGGAAGUGGACGACUAAGAUAAACAUGGUUUCCAAAUGUUGUAAACACAAUGUUGUAAAAGAUGCAACGAUGAUAGGGACGUAACAGCGUGUUCUGCCCUGUGCACGGUCACUUGACGGACAGACACCCGGCAGUGACCCGGACACACAGUGGUCACGGACAAAUCUCACAGACACGAGCUCAGGAAGCCAGACACAAAACAGACGCACU
rnacentral:lncRNA from 1 species